CCCGCUGAACUUAAGCAUAUUAUUAAGCGGAGGAAAAGAAACUAACAAGGAUUCCCUUAGUAACGGCGAGCGAAAAGGGAGAAGCUCAAAUUUAAAAUCUCCGGCCCCUCGGGUCGGCGAAUUGUAGUUUAGAGAGGCGCUUUCUGGUGUUGGGCCGGGCCUAAAUCCCUUGGAACAGGGUAUCAUAGAGGGUGAGAAUCCCGUCUGUGGCUCGGAUUCCGACCCUUUACGUGGUGUCCUCGAAGAGUCGGGUUGUUUGGGAAUGCAGCCCCAAAUGGGUGGUAAACUUCACCUAAAGCUAAAUAUUGGCGAGAGACCGAUAGCGAAAAAGUACCGUGAGGGAAAGAUGCAAAGAACUUUGAAAAGAGAGUUAAAAAGUGCUUGAAAUUGCUGAAAGGGAAGCGCUGGAGAUCACUGUUGGGGCGAUCAUUAUCAACUCUGUGGUAGACUCACACGGUAAGGCUGGCGACCGCAAGGCGCUGCCUCUCCGCGUUGGGGGUGCUCGGGGUGCACUAGUGGUUGUUCCGGUCAGCGUCGGCUAGGCUUGGGGGAAAAUGACGUAGGGAAGGUGGAACUCCUUCGGGGGAACUUUUAGACCUGCGUAGAUACCCUGAGCCCGGCCGAGGGAAUUCGGCACGCGCCUAGCGCGGCGCCCUGGCGCUGGUCUUGGCAGGAAGGGAUUGGAGAGCAAAGCUGUCUGCCUUGAAUGUCGAGCCAUCCGCCGGUGGACCGCCGGCAGUCGUGCCUAAGACGCUGGCAAAAUGGUCUUCAUCGACCCGUCUUGAAACACGG
rnacentral:rRNA from 1 species